GACGAACGCUGGCGGCGUGCUUAACACAUGCAAGUCGAACGGAAAGGCCCUGCUUGCAGGGUACUCGAGUGUCGAACGGGUGAGUAACACGUGGGUGAUCUGCCCUGCACUUCGGGAUAAGCCUGGGAAACUGGGUCUAAUACCGGAUAGGAGCCAUUUUUAGUGUGAUGGUUGGAAAGUUUUUUCGGUGUAGGAUGAGCUCGCGGCCUAUCAGCUUGUUGGUGGGGUAAUGGCCUACCAAGGCGGCGACGGGUAGCCGGCCUGAGAGGGUGGACGGCCACAUUGGGACUGAGAUACGGCCCAGACUCCUACGGGAGGCAGCAGUGGGGAAUAUUGCACAAUGGGCGCAAGCCUGAUGCAGCGACGCCGCGUGGGGGAUGACGGCCUUCGGGUUGUAAACUCCUUUCGCUAGGGACGAAGCUUUUUGUGACGGUACCUAGAUAAGAAGCACCGGCUAACUACGUG
rnacentral:rRNA from 1 species